rnacentral:rRNA from 1 species
AUUGAACGCUGGCGGCAUGCUAUACACAUGCAAGUCGAACGGUAACAGGCCGCAAGGUGCUGACGAGUGGCGAACGGGUGAGUAAUGCAUCGGAACGUGCCCAGUCGUGGGGGAUAACGCAGCGAAAGCUGUGCUAAUACCGCAUACGAUCUAUGGAUGAAAGCGGGGGACCGUAAGGCCUCGCGCGACUGGAGCGGCCGGUGUCAGAUUAGGUAGUUGGUGGGGUAAAGGCCCACCAAGCCAACGAUCUGUAGCUGGUCUGAGAGGACGACCAGCCACACUGGGACUGAGACACGGCCCAGACUCCUACGGGAGGCAGCAGUGGGGAAUUUUGGACAAUGGGCGCAAGCCUGAUCCAGCAAUGCCGCGUGCAGGAAGAAGGCCUUCGGGUUGUAAACUGCUUCUGUACGGAACGAAACGGUCUGGGUUAAUACCCUGGGCUAAUGACGGUACCGUAAGAAUAAGCACCGGCUAACUACGUGCCAGCCGCCGCCGUAACAC